UACGUAGGGGGCAAGCGUUAUCCGGAAUUACUGGGCGUAAAGGGUGCGUAGGCGGUCUUUCAAGCCAGAAGUGAAAGGCUACGGCUCAACCGUAGUAAGCUUUUGGAACUGUAAGACUUGAGUGCAGGAGAGGAGAGUGGAAUUCCUAGUGUAGCGGUGAAAUGCGUAGAUAUUAGGAGGAACACCAGUAGCGAAGGCGGCUCUCUGGACUGUAACUGACGCUUUGAGGCUCGAAAGCGUGGGGAGCGAACAGGAUUAGAUACCCUGGUAGUCCCU
rnacentral:rRNA from 1 species